rnacentral:lncRNA from 10 species
CUUGUAUUCCCAAUGAAAUAAGAAGCAGCUGAGAAUUUAGAAAGAUGAAUUGGUACUGGAGAUGUGAGGAAAGAGAAGUUUUGAAACAGUUGCCUAGUAGGGAGUGAAAGAGAACUGAUUUGCGCUGAGUUUUCUAAUAAGUACUAGCAAGUUCACUCAGGCUUAUGAUUAUGAAUUUAAAAGAGACAAAUUAACAAAGUUGCUGGGUUUUCUCCAGCCAUGGUUAGCUGCCUGGUGCGGGUGCUGAGUUGACCUAGGGUUCUGUUUCGCUGGGGUUGGCAUUUUGUACAGCCAAUACAACCGAGAAUGAUGGCCGUCGGAGCUCGGAGUGAAUACAGCGAAUGAUUCCAAUAGGAACCACGGACUCUGAUCUGGGUAAACAGGGAACAGCAUUAGACUCUGGGACCAUCUCAUAAUGUUUGUGUACAUUCCUGUUGUCUUCUACCUCCCAUCCACCGUGUCUCUCUACUGCCUAUAACCAGCCUACAUAAGUUCUUUCAAGAGAUCAAGAAAGAAACAGAAAUCUAGACAGAGAAGGUGAAAAAGAGAAGACCUAACAGAGAGCUAAGAAAGAUAAAUGUGAUUGGAGAGGAAACUAUCCCCAAUUCUCUCUUCAUUGACAUUUGGGGCUGUACCAGUUUACAUUUUCACCAACAUUCCCACCAUUGUGGUGGCCAGCAACUGAGGAGGCUGAGAUAAGUGGAUUCCCUGAGCCCAGGAGGUGGAGGUUGCAGUUAGCCAAGAUUGCGUCACUGCACUCCAGCCUAGGCAACAGAGUGAGACCUGUCUCAAAAAAAAAAAAAAAAAAGAGUUAAAUUAAAAAAUAAAUAAAAGUCAUUUGACCAUAUAUGUGAUUGUUUAUUUCUUGCUCUCCAUCUAUUCUAUUUACCUAUAUAUCUAUCUUUAUUCCAGUACAAUGCUGUUUUUAUUAUUGUAACUUUGAAAAAAAAUUUUAAAAUCUAGAAGUGUGAUCUUUAACUUUUGUUCUUUUUCAAAAUUGUUU